rnacentral:rRNA from 1 species
CUGGCGGCGUGCCUAAUACAUGCAAGUCGAACGGUCUUUCUAUGGAAGCUUGCUUCCACUGAGAAGAUAGUGGCGAACGGGUGAGUAACACGUGGGUAACCUGCCCAUAAGAGGGGGAUAACAUCCGGAAACGGGUGCUAAUACCGCAUAGUUUUCUUGAUUGCAUGAUUGAGAAAGGAAAGACGGCCUUUGUGCUGUCGCUUAUGGAUGGACCCGCGGCGUAUUAGUUAGUUGGUGAGGUAACGGCUCACCAAGACGAUGAUACGUAGCCGACCUGAGAGGGUGAUCGGCCACAUUGGGACUGAGACACGGCCCAAACUCCUACGGGAGGCAGCAGUAGGGAAUCUUCCGCAAUGGACAAAAGUCUGACGGAGCAACGCCGCGUGAGUGAAAGAAGGUUUUCGGAUCGUAAAACUCUGUUGUCAGAGAAGAACAAGUUGGAGAGUAACUGCUCCAGCCUUGACGGUAUCUGACCAGAAAGCCACGGCUAACUACGUGCCAGCCGCCGC